UACGGAGGGGGCUAGCGUUGUUCGGAAUUACUGGGCGUAAAGCGUACGUAGGCGGCUUUGUAAGUUAGAGGUGAAAGCCCGGAGCUCAACUCCGGAAUUGCCUUUAAGACUGCAUCGCUUGAAUCAUGGAGAGGUGAGUGGAAUUCCGAGUGUAGAGGUGAAAUUCGUAGAUAUUCGGAAGAACACCAGUGGCGAAGGCGACUCACUGGACAUGUAUUGACGCUGAGGUACGAAAGCGUGGGGAGCAAACAGG
rnacentral:rRNA from 2 species